rnacentral:rRNA from 1 species
UACGGAGGAGGCAAGCGUUAUCCGGAAUUAUUGGGCGUACAGCGUGCGCCGGCGGUUCGUUGUGUCGGUGGUGAAAUCCCCGGGCUUAACCUGGGAAUGGCCAUGGAAACUGGCGAACUGGAGUGUGGCAGAGGGGGGUGGAAUUCCGCGUGUAGCAGUGAAAUGCGUAGAGAUGCGGAGGAACACCGAUGGCGAAGGCAGCCCCCUGGGCUAGCACUGACGCUCAGGCACGAAAGCGUGGGGAGCAAACAGG